rnacentral:rRNA from 1 species
UACGUAGGGGGCGAGCGUUGUCCGGAAUUACUGGGCGUAAAGCGCACGUAGGCGGAUUUGUUAGUCAGGGGUGAAAUCCCGGGGCUCAACCUCGGAACUGCCUUUGAUACUGCAAGUCUCGAGUCCGAUAGAGGUGGGUGGAAUUCCUAGUGUAGAGGUGAAAUUCGUAGAUAUUAGGAAGAACACCGGUGGCGAAGGCGGCCCACUGGAUCGGUACUGACGCUGAGGUGCGAAAGCGUGGAGAGCAAACAGG